rnacentral:rRNA from 1 species
CGGAACGCGUGCGGCGUGCUUAACACAUGCAAGUCGACGGACUUUUGGUAGAGCUCGGUGGAAGUUAGAAGGUUAGUGGCGGACGGGUGAGUAACGCGUAGAUAAUACUACCUUAAAGACUGGGACAACAAGUUGGAAACGACUGCUAAUACCGGAUACGCUGCACAUAGGGCAUCCUAGGUGCAGGAAAAGAGGCCUCUUAACAAUGCUCCUGCUUUUAGAUGAGUCUGCGUCUGAUUAGCUAGAUGGUGGGGUAACGGCUUGCCAUGGCGACGAUCAGUAGUCGGCCUGAGAGGGUGACCGGCCACAUUGGGACUGAGACACGGCCCAAACUCCUACGGGAGGCAGCAGUGGGGAAUCUUCCGCAAUGGGCGAAAGCCUGACGGAGCAACGCCGCGUGAUCGAAUGAAGGCCUUCGGGUUGUAAAGAUCUGUUGACAGGGACGAAUAAGCAAUGCGAAUAGUUUUGUUGUAUGACGGUACCUGUUUAGAAAGCUCCGGCUAACUACGUG